rnacentral:rRNA from 1 species
GUGGGGAAUAUUGGACAAUGGGUGAAAGCCUGAUCCAGCCAUGCCGCGUGUGUGAAGAAGGUCUUCGGAUUGUAAAGCACUUUAAGUUGGGAGGAAGGGCAGUAAGUUAAUACCUUGCUGUUUUGACGUUACCGACAGAAUAAGCACCGGCUAACUUCGUGCCAGCAGCCGCGGUAAUACGAAGGGUGCAAGCGUUAAUCGGAAUUACUGGGCGUAAAGCGCGCGUAGGUGGUUUUGUAAGUUGGAGGUGAAAUCCCCGGGCUCAACCUGGGAACUGCCUCCAAAACUGCAUGACUAGAGUACGGUAGAGGGUAGUGGAAUUUCCUGUGUAGCGGUGAAAUGCGUAGAUAUAGGAAGGAACACCAGUGCCGAAGGCGACUACCUGGACUGAUACUGACACUGAGGUGCGAAAGCGUGGGGAGCAAACAGGAUUAGAAACCCCAGUAGUCC